rnacentral:lncRNA from 1 species
AUAGAAUAGCUGUGACAAUGACUAAAACAGUUUUGAUUAUCGAAGUCAAGAAUCUCAAAGAUAUAAAAAUAGAAAAUGAGAUAACGUUGCAAAACAUCUUGCAAUGGCGUAGCUUUUAUGAUUCAUACACUUUUUGUUAACUGUUUGGACGGUGAUCUAGUCGUGAUGAUAUAGAUGGAUCGAUUGUACAGAAGCACUCAAAGUAUCCAGGAAUUUGGUAUACUGCAGGAAACGUCGGUUAAGUGUCAAACGAAAUUCGGAACUCGAUAAUUUUUUCAAUGGACAUAUGUUCCAGGUACAGACAGCAAAAUGGAUUGUCAUCGUGGCAUUGCCUACGAUGCCCCCAAAAACGUCAUUGCUGUUAUCAAUAAUGCUGGAAAAUCUAUAUAUAUCUUCAAAAUGAUGUGAAUUUGAAUUACCACUGAUACAUUUACAGUGAUACAGUUUCAGUAAUAGGAUGUUAUUUGUUUUAAAAUUGACAAGACAACUUGUUUAUCUGGUGUGUUAGAAUGUAAUUUUCGCAUGUUAUAAAAAACAAUUAGAAACCAAGUAGAAAGACAAAAGUAAAUGUCGAUGAAGGACAUUCGACACAACGACAAAAAAGGAAAAGACCUAUAAGUGGAAAACGGUAAAAAAUACAAAGUGAUCUAAAACAAUUGCGCUUAACAUCCACUAUCCAAAAUCGCGAGUGUAAGUGGAUGCUUCCAGCCGUAAACAAUAAUGCAACAUUCAAAGCACUUGUUUUAGAACUAUCAAUGUUCAGUUGUAAUCGGUGUUAAUAUGCAUAAG